AGGAUUAUUGAGGACUAUGGAGCAGCAAGGAGAAAGAAAGAGAAAGAGAAGAAACUUUUUGGAAAAGAAAUGGUUAUAUACGUGACUUUUUAUGAGGUAGAAUAGAUUCUUGCUGCUAUUGCAUGGUCAUAAUGAUCUUCAGAAUUUUCUAUUGUGGAUGGAUGUUUUAAAAUGUUUGAACUAAUGCAUUUCGUCUGUUGUGCUAUUUAUGUAGUAUAUUAUAUAAUUACAUGAGCUAAAAUAAGUAAUCAACGAAAAACAUCAUUUUUCAUAGGGUGCAAACACUUAUAUGCAUGCAUAAGAACAAAGAGAAGAAUGGAACAUGAAGUUGGUUGUAAAUUUCUUGCCCAUCAUUUUUCUCAAUUAAGCAGCUUUUUUAUUAUAUUAUUGACUGUUUCAAGUUUCUACAAUUUAGCUCAGGUUCAUGUUAUUCUUGAAGUCUCUAAACCAUUUAGUGGCUAGCAAAUUGAUGCAAAUUGAUUUAUUAUCAGGAUAUUUUGUGCUUAUUGUGUGUAAUUGCUUUUUGUAUUUCCUUGUUUUAUGCCUUCUAACUUAAGUUAUUUAAGGAGCCUUUGGUCAGGCAUGAUCUUGGCAAAAUAGAUUCAUGAGAUUCUUAAGUCACAAACAUUGUUAGACUCCUUGGUUUACAGCCUGCAUUUUUGUGUUUAUGACCCUUGCAGGGCCUUGAUCACAUAUAUCACUCGUUCAUGUCUGCCAAUUUGGUUCUAUUAGGACACAAUGCCCAUGACUUGAGGCCUGGGCUAAGUGGUAUGGCGUGGAAUGAGGCAGGGUUAUGAUAUGUCAAAUUAUUUUUGUGAUGAUUUGCACUCUAUAUCUUUUACAUUUAUAAAUCAGUUUCUCUCCUAGUGUCUGCACCUUUCUGAUUACUUGUAAUGUAUACUAAUGUUUUAAGUUUCCUUUAUUUGAUAUAAGUUUCUUUCAUGUAGUAUUUAGGUAGGUUACUAGUAUGUCAUACCCACUCAUUAACCACCCAAUUUUCCAAAGGCUGAGAGUGUUUAUUUUUUAAGAAGCUUCAAUUUGUCUACAACCUCUUUUAAUAUGAUUUUUUCCAUGAUUUCUAUAUCGAUGACAAGAUCAUAUAUUAUUUUGCUCCACAAACAACACAUGCAUCGAAAAACUAUCCCUCCCCCAAUCCUCCUCUUCAUUAUUGAUUUUCGUUGUCAUUGCUCUGCACACAACUAACGACUGACCUUGUGCUUGAUGAACAUCAAUUUCCUCUAGUCCUUCAUCAUAGUCAUUAUAUAUUACUUCUAACUCGUUCUAGAAUUUUGCUAAGUUCACCCUCCAUUAUGGGCAAGCAAAAGAAGGGUUCCCUUCUCAACAAAAGUAAAACAUCGACCUGGAGAUUGCUGCGUCCUUUAGAUGUCAAAGUACUAAAAUUAUUUCAUCCAUUGGAAGGCACCGUACUCUCGCGUUUAUCACUUUUCUUAAUAUUGGUUGCAAACCCACCAAUUUUUUGUUGGUUGUGAUGGCCCCUUGAUUAUUUCGUGGGGUUGUAAAAAACCAUAUCCGAUCCUAGUAUUGCUUUGCUAAUUGAUGCCGUAAUGCAAAACUCGCUUUUCAGAAACUAAGGCAUAUUAACGAGCAUCUUCAAUAUUGUACAAACAAACUACUCCCUUUUCAUCUGUAAUAGAAUGAUUCAAACCAGCAAGAUAUCGGGAAUAUGAAAGCUAAUUGACUAUAAAUUCCUUCAUCUACGUCACUUAGGAUUAUUGAGGACUAUGGAGCAGCAAGGAGAAAGAAAGAGAAAGAGAAGAAACUU
rnacentral:lncRNA from 1 species